rnacentral:lncRNA from 1 species
GUUUGAAUCGAGCAUUGAGGACCAGCAGUGUAGUGUUUUCCUUAACAAAACUGCUUAACUCAAGGGGGGCUCGUACCCACGGUUAAUUUGCACUAUAAUUUUAGAGUCAACAGCUUUAGCAGUGUGUGCCACCUGGAAGCAGUAACAAUAACGAUACAUAAUGGUUAUUUGAUGAACGUGAUACCUUCAAGCGUUUGGAAAUUGCUCCCAAGGAUGAACCAGACUUGUGGAGGUCUACAAUUCUUUUCUGAGGUCUUGGCAGAUUUCUUUUGAUUUUCCCAUGAUGUCAAGCAAAGAGGCACUGAGUUUGAUGAGAUUGCCUCAACUUUGUGUCUGAGAGAGAAGAGAGGACAGCAUGGACUGGUGACUGGUGUCUCAGGAGUUUCUGAAGGAAACGGAAGGUAAAGUACAGACAAGGUGAGGAGAGACGAGGUAAAGUAAACUCUGCAGAAUGUGGGACCAAAGGCACUCUCACUGUGUGUGUGUGUGUGUGUGUGUGUGUGAGAGAAUGAUUAUGUAUUCCCCGCCCAGCCACAAUCCCCAUCUCUCAGGCACACACAGGAGGGGGGAGAGAGAGAGGGAGGGAGGGAUGACAGAUCUCUCUCCCCUUGAGUGUCAGGGCCCUGGUCCCUGUGUGUGUGCAGAUAACACACGCCGGCCUAAUUAAUUACCCUCCGCCGCAUACAUCGUCCAGCACAAACAUUCAUAACAGUCACAGAGGUCUUCAGUAGUGGGAGAGCCACACACACGCUGCAGUUGCCUCUCAAGACAAAGUCACCCCACUCCUCCCCUCUGCAACUGGCAGCCUAUGUCCCCAAAAUGGACAGGUGCUGAGGGGGACAUUUCUCUGUUCAAUCCUGUCAUUUAUCAAUAGAAUGAGCCAAUAUGAGCCAUAUUAAUUUACUAUCUAUUUUUCACAAGGCUAGUGCUUCACCAGGGCGGAAUUCUCUCUCC